rnacentral:lncRNA from 1 species
UUUGUAUACCAGAAGAGGUUUUGGUAAGAGUUGAACAUUUUUAAACAAUGACUUUAGGACACUAUCAAAAGAUUGUAGAUUAUGUCACACACACACACACACACACACACACACACACACACACACACACACACACACACACACACACACCUCACAUAGCUAAAUUAGAAAACAUGGUUUUCAAUUUUAUAAAAUUACUGAUUGUUAAUGGGUAAAAAUUCAUUUUUCUUUUAAUAUAUGAAAUAUUAUUUAUGCCCCUGAAAUAUGCCCCUGAAAUAAGCUAAAGUUAACUGUGUUUCUGUCAAAACUAAAUUUACUUAUGACCGAUGUGUACAUUAGCAGUUAUUAGUUGACUUUUAAAAUAAAACGCAACCUCACGAUGAUGUUUUUGUAGAAAUUAAGUAGUCAAAUCGUGGCGUUUCUUGCAGUUUUGUACAGUAUUUGAGUAGAGUGCAAACCAGGUCUGUUCACAACAUCAAUAAAAGGAGCACCUUCUGGAAACAAACUCUCAGCAAAAAAACAAAAACAAAAACAAAAACAAAAAAAAAAAACAAAAACAACAACAACCAAAAAAAAAAAAAAAAAAAAAAAAAAAACCUCGCUGUUCUUUGCCUCAUUCAGCUGCCCCGUUUUCUAUUCAAGUAUGAUUUCACUGUGUGUUUUUGCAUGAUUUGUACUCAUACCAGGGUCACAGCUUCAUCCUACUAACAGAAUUCGCUCUGAAGACAACCUUGACCUUAAAACCUUCCUCACGAAAAUCAAAAGUAAUCCAUCAACCUUAAUAAAAGUAUUACACGAGCCAAUAAAUGUAUUUUGUUAAUUCCCUUUCAGUAACAUCUUUAUUAUCCAAACGAGUUUUAGAGUGUGAAUAUUGCCCAUCUAGUGAAAUAAAAUAUACCCUGGUUUCUUAAACAAAUCUGUACAACAAAGGCUCUUGUGAAUAGGCUCAGGAUGGGUACAGAAGUGUGAAGUGGUGUGACAUUUGAAGGCAAAUGGUAAGCUGCUCUCCAUUGUGAAUGUUGCCCAGACGUUAAGAACAGUUUAGGGUGGCAGAGAGAGCUCAGAGGAUAACAGCACAUAUUUCUCUUGCAGAGGGCGUGAUUUCAAGUUCCCAGCACCCACAUAGUAGUUCACAAUUACCUGUGAUAUGUGCUGUAGGAGCUCUGACACUCUCUGUAGGACUCCUUAGAUCGCAUUACACGUGUGUUCACAUACCCCAUGACCCAACUAAUUGAGAAAAGAAAAUACAUCUUUAAAAUGAGUAGCUAUACUUCUGUCCCACCCUUUGAGUGUCUCAUUAUAGCUUACAUUAUUAUAAAUAUGUACAUAUGUAAAAAUGGUUCUAAAUAGUUUUGACAGUUAGACAGAAAAGAUCCAUUUGUAUCUUCAACAAAGUGCUGGGGUUAUGUUGAUGGCAGUACUUUUCAAGGUUUUUAUUGAUUUUUGUUUUUUUUAUGGCAGACAGAGUAGAAAAUUAACAUUACUGUUUUCAUUAAUUGAAAUAACAUAGCUGAAAAUUUUCAAUUCAGUCAUGAGAAUAAUAUAUGAAUUUAAUGACAUUAUGAUAAGUUAGACGUCCCAAUUGUGUCUUUCAGAAUUUCCUAUUGGGUCUUGGACUCUGGCAUAUUUUUAUAUAUUAUUAUAAAAAACAUCUGUCAUAUAACAGACACAGACUCCAAGCAAACAUAUAAUUAUUUUAUUAUAAAUGCCUAAUUCAUAUAAAGAUGUCAAUUAAGUUAAUACUGAAAAUUUAUGACCUACAGACCUACUAAAAGGGGCUGUGCUUCUUUUUCUCCUACUUUCAAUAACAAUAAAUACAGCAAAAGAGGUG